rnacentral:rRNA from 1 species
UGGGGAAUCUUCCGCAAUGGACGAAAGUCUGACGGAGCAACGCCGCGUGAGUGAAGAAGGUUUUCGGAUCGUAAAACUCUGUCUUUUGGGGCGAACGUGAGUAUGGUGAACAAUCAUAGUCAGUGACGGUACCAAAGGAGGAAGCCACGGCUAACUACGUGCCAGCAGCCGCGGUAAUACGUAGGUGGCAAGCGUUGUCCGGAAUUAUUGGGCGUAAAGAGCGCGUAGGCGGGAUAGUCAGUCUGUUGUAAAGUGCGGGCUCAACCCCGUGAUGGCAAUGGAAACAGCUAUUCUUGAGUGCAGGAGAGGAAAGUGGAAUUCCCAGUGUAGCGGUGAAAUGCGUAGAUAUUGGGAGGAACACCAGUGGCGAAGGCGACUUUCUGGACUGUGUCUGACGCUGAGGCGCGAAAGCCAGGGGAGCGAACGGGAUUAGAUACCCCGGUAGUCCUGGCCGUAAACGAUGGGUACUAGGUGUGGGAGGUAUCGACCCCUUCCGUGCCGGAGUUAACGCAAUAAGUACCCCGCCUGGGGAGUACGGUCGCAAGACUGAAACUCAAAUGAAUUGACGGGGUCAUAGCUGUUUCCUG